rnacentral:rRNA from 1 species
UGGGGAAUAUUGGACAAUGGGCGAAAGCCUGAUCCAGCCAUGCCGCGUGUGUGAAGAAGGUCUUCGGAUUGUAACGCACUUUAAGUUGGGAGGAAGGGCAUUAACCUAAUACGUUAGUGUUUUGACGUUACCGACAGAAUAAGCACCGGCUAACUCUGUGCCAGCAGCCGCGGUAAUACAGAGGGUGCAAGCGUUAAUCGGAAUUACUGGGCGUAAAGCGCGCGUAGGUGGUUUGUUAAGUUGGAUGUGAAAUCCCCGGGCUCAACCUGGGAACUGCAUUCAAAACUGACUGACUAGAGUAUGGUAGAGGGUGGUGGAAUUUCCUGUGUAGCGGUGAAAUGCGUAGAUAUAGUAAGGAA